rnacentral:tRNA from 1 species
CCGAAAAUAGCUCAGCGGUAGAGCGGGAGACUGUAGGAAUAUUGCCCAGAAAUGGGCAGUAGUGAAGAUAUCUCUAGGUCCCUGGUUCAAAUCCGGGUUUUCGGA